rnacentral:misc_RNA from 1 species
CCGAGCGAGGGCUCCGGCCCGACCUCCAACCCAUUGAAGUUACCAACUCUGUUGCCUCGGGGGUGACCCGGCCGCCGCGGCGUCGGGGCCCCCGAAGGACCACACCACUCUGCGUCUCUGCGUCGGAGUUUGAGGGAAAUGUCAAUUA